AAAUCCCCACUACAUUCAGUCUAGCGCCGGCCGUCUCUAAAGAAAGUACGUGAGGCCUCAGCUCUUACCUUUUAGUAAAUUGUCCUUCUCUUAGUGUGUAGUUCGCUCUCCCCUCGAGUUUUCGACUCUUUCUUCUUCGCUCUAUCUCACUCGUCUCUCUCUGUCUGCCGCUCCAGUCACAGUGUAUCAGUGUGCGAUGAUGGAGUCACAGGGACAAGAGGUCGUAGCAGGGCCGACGGAAGUACCCAACGAUCCAGGGAAAAUGUUCAUCGGAGGACUCAGUUGGCAGACAAGUCCAGAAUCGCUGAGAGAGUACUUUUGCAAGUACGGGGAGAUAACGGAGGUGAUGGUCAUGAAGGACCCGACCACUCGCAGAUCGAGCGCUCCAGGACAUGAGAGCUUCCAGGUCGGACAGCCUGUCCCGAGGGGAUUCGGGUUCAUUACUUUUGCCGACCCGUCCAGCGUAGACAAAGUACUGGCCCAAGGAACGCACGAGCUCGACGGCAAGAAGAUUGAUCCAAAAGUAGCAUUUCCCAGGCGAGCGCAUCCAAAAAUGGUCACUAGGACAAAGAAAAUCUUCGUCGGCGGCCUGUCGGCCCCGACGACCCUCGAGGACGUCAAGAACUACUUCGAGCAGUUCGGACAGAUUGAGGAUGCUAUGCUUAUGUUUGACAAACAGACCAAUCGGCAUAGAGGCUUUGGGUUUGUCACUUUCCAGUGCGAAGACGUUGUAGACAAAGUGUGCGAAAUACACUUUCACGAAAUAAACAAUAAAAUGGUGGAGUGCAAGAAAGCACAGCCAAAGGAAGUGAUGCUACCGGCGAACUUGGCCAAGACCAGGGCGUCAGGUCGGGGAGCAUACGAUUUCAUGUGGUCUUUGGGGGCCUUACCGGAUGGUUUCCCGGCUGCUGCGUACGCUGCAUAUGCGGCUGGUAGAGGGUACAGCGGCUACCCUAGCUUUGGGCUCCCCUACCCUACAGGUUACCCGGGCUACAAUUAUUACGCCCCCAACUCGUCCUGCGGCGACAGGACCAGCAGCUUCUACGGUGAGUACCAGCCGAGCGGAAGGCAGGACUCGCCCCUGGGCCGCCACGAGCAGGGCUCCCGCAAGCUCCUCGUCAGGCACGACUUGUACCAACCGGAGGACCGGCUUAAAACCUACGUCACAGUUGGUGGCGGUUUAGUCAUGAACAACUACCAGGCGGCUGCGGCGGCAGCGGCUGCGGCGGCCGCUGCCAGCGGAUUCGGACCUCCCGCGAGUCCGCACACCCCGAGGGCUGCAGGCUUCCCGGGUGCAAAUUCCCCCGGGCCGACCCUCGACAUGUACACAUCAACAACAGCACCUCCGCAAGCGGAGAGCGUCGGCUACGUCCAGGCUGCCAGCCCUCAAUCCUCAGGCUUCCCCACCAUAGCUGUCAGCAGGGCACCCAUCACCUACAACCCUGAUCAAGAUUACCAACGUUACGAUCUUUAUACGAUAUACCAGUAAGACUGAAGUUGUCCUUUUGAAGUUACGGCAGAAGACUCUUCACGGCGGCCCCUAAGACUUCAGGAAUCGGCCCGUUGAUACCAGCUGCAUUUACCAAUGGUUACCAUUGAGGAGGGUUUGUCACAGGUCAGAUAGGGUAGAUAGACCUCUAGUAGUGGUUAAAUAGAAAGUCUGUAUGUAAAACCAUAUGUACAAUAUGUGUGUAUGUUGUGUGCAGGUGAGCAGGCGGCCUUCGCACCCUCUCAACCUAGUGUAUAAGUUAUAUUGUGCAAUCUUUGCACAACCAGCCUCUGAAUUAUAUAUAUAUUCAUAUUCAUAUGCAUUAAUUAACAUAAUAUAUAUACACGUUAUUAUUGUGUAUACUUGUGUACAACACAAAAACAAAUAUGUACACUUUUAUACACUGGAUGGUUGAAAGGUUAUGUAUAUAUGAUUUCACACCCUGUAAACUUGUAUUUAAAGGGAAAAAAUAAGCAAAGAGUCACCCACUCACUGUAUACCCAUAAGAGAACCCAGUAGAAUAUUAAUUUUAGUAGUGUUUUUGGUAUAAAAAAAAUUCAUUACUCUUUAUUUUCAUAAUCAACUCCCCUUUAGGCGUGUAAACAAAGAGUGAUCUCUCAUCCACUCUUUCAAAAAUUAUAUAAAAACACACCAAAGCUCACUUUUAUGCAUGAAAUAUUUUAAUCUUUACAAUUAUAAUGUAAAUAAUAUUUGGGCGCGUCCGUUUAUAGGAGCCGACCCUAUACUUAACACAUACGUACGAUUAAUAUUUAUCGAUUAUCGCUAAAAAUUGUUAUUAUUGUUGACGGAUUUCUUCAAUUACGAGAGAAAUAAAAAAAAAAGGUUCUUUAUUUCCAUUGUGUUAAAAUGUAGUACGUUAUAGAGAUUUUUUUUUGGGUCUUUGUACAUUGUUGUUCUUGCAAUCCUUAUUCGGUAGGUGAUUGGUAGUACGAGUAUAGACGGAUUAAUAUUCAAUUAACGUGAAAAACUGAUUUUUUUUAAAUAAAACAUUUCUUUUCUUUUUUUGUUUUAAUGUGAAAUUUAACCAGACAAACGAACUCGGGUUAAAAAAAAGACGAUGAAUAAAAAUACUCUAUUGUCUAUUAUAUUAUAUAGCGUUGUUAAUCCUUUUGUUAAGAGAGUAAAUUCAUAUUUUAAUAAUCACAGGGUAUUCUAUAAUUAUUACUAUGGGAAUACAGGAGACCUUUGAUUGUAUCUAGAUAUCCAUUGAUAAUCAAAUCACCUUGGACCAACUCGGUAAUGUUAAGGAAAUUGAGUUUUAGCACUGAAAUAUUUUGUUUAAGGCGAUUUACUGGUGUUUGAUUUUCAGUGCCUACAGAUCAAUGAAAAAAAAA
rnacentral:misc_RNA from 1 species